rnacentral:rRNA from 1 species
AUUGAACGCUGGCGGCAUGCCUUACACAUGCAAGUCGAACGGCAGCACGGGUGCUUGCCCCUGGUGGCGAGUGGCGAACGGGUGAGUAAUACAUCGGAACAUGUCCUGUAGUGGGGAAUAGCCCGGCGAAAGCCGGAUUAAUACCGCAUACGAUCUACGGAUGAAAGCGGGGGACCUUCGGGCCUCGCGCUAUAGGGUUGGCCGAUGGCUGAUUAGCUAGUUGGUGGGGUAAGGGCCUACCAAGGCGACGAUCAGUAGCUGGUCUGAGAGGACGACCAGCCACACUGGGACUGAGACACGGCCCAGACUCCUACGGGAGGCAGCAGUGGGGAAUUUUGGACAAUGGGCGAAAGCCUGAUCCAGCAAUGCCGCGUGUGUGAAGAAGGCCUUCGGGUUGUAAAGCACUUUUGUCCGGAAAGAAAUACUUGGCCCUAAUACGGUCGGGGGAUGACGGUACCGGAAGAAUAAGCACCGGCUAACUACGUG